GUCAACGACCAUACCACGUAGGAAGCAUCGGUUCUCGUACGAUCACAGAAGUUGAACUACGUCGGGCUGGGUUAGUACUUGCAUGGGUGAUCGGCUUUGAAUACCCGGUGCUGCUGACU
rnacentral:rRNA from 1 species